UGUGUAUAUUUCUGUGCUAAAAUCAGUGAGGAUUAGCUUUUCAUUCCAUGUGCAUCUGUCCCCUCCAAAAAAGAAGAAAGCAUCUAGAUGUCACAAUCCUUUUUUUGCUCCAAACAAUUGGCCCCAUGUUUCCUUUGUUUUUAUUUAUUUAUUUCCAGCAUUUAUACCCCACCCUUCUCACCCGCGGGGACCCAGGGCAGCUUGCAACAGUUGGCAAGAAAGCGAUGAAGGGUUCGGCAGCACUGAGGAAGGACUUGAACGUCCUCAGAUUUUGGUGUCUACUGGAAACCAAAUACCAGCAGAUAUCAAGGGUCCACUAUACUGGGGGCUGAAAGGCUCAGCCCAGCUCCCGCCUGGCACCUGGAGACUGAUCUAGCUGAGUUUUGGCACCAUUACCAUUAUGACAACCACAGCGCAACUAGCAGGUCUGCCCUAUGAAUUGAGGAAAAGUUCAUCCGCCUAAGUGUUGGAUUUUGGUGCGCCGUUUAAGAAUUUCUUCAAGGUUUUCCACUGGAUGUCAACAAUUUAAAUUUGUAGAAAUAUUUAUAUUGCAAAGAGUUGGGCCUGAGGUACGAGGCUUGAAUGAAAAGUAAUGCCUCCACCUUCGUAACUCCUCAACAGAUGGCAGUCCUGGUCUGCAGCAGGUACUGGCUUAUUCAGUAGACUCUCCUCUACAGUUCCAUUUGGUGGGAAGCCUGAGCAUUGAACGGCUGUGUUGUUAAAGUGCAAAGUAUGGGACCCUGCGCAGACGGUCGGUCAAUGCGACUUAAGCAACGUGCAGUCAUUGAAUUCUCGACAGCAGAAGGUGCCACCACAAAGGAGAUUCAUCAGAGAAUGCAAGCUGUUUAUGGGGAUUGUGUUGAUGGGAGAGUAAGUUUCAAGAAGUGGGAACAUCUGACUUGCGUGACAAACAAAGAGUUGGACGUCCUGCGACAGCAACCACCGAGUUUCAAGCUAAAGGUUGACAGAUUGAUUCAGAACGAUUGCCAUAUCACUCAGAGAGAAAUUUCAAGCAUAAUCGGCAUUUCGCAAAAAUUAUUGCUUUGCUUGGCUAUCAGAAGAUCUGUGCAGGACGGAUACUGUGAGAUGCUGGUUGUGGAAGCAGAGUGCCGACUUCUUCCAUGACGGUUUCAGAACUGCGGCAAUUUUUAAGGGUUUUUUUCAUGUCAGGAGUGACUUGAGAAACUGUAAGUCGCUUCUGGUGUGAGAGAAUUGGCCAUCUGCAAGGAUGUUAGAGAAAGAACUACCCCACUCCUGAAGCAGCUACACUGGCUUCCGGUUUGUUUCUGGGCGCAAUUCAAGUUGCUGGCUUUGGCCUACAAAGCUGUAUACAGUUUGGGCCCAGCCUACUUGAGGGACUGUAGCUCCUUCUACCAACCCACUCGAGCUUCUUUUUUUUUUUUUUUUACGAAUUUUUAUUUUUUAAAACACAAAAAAUACAUACCAUACACAUACAAAACAUUUACAAUUCUCACCACCAACACGAGGAUUAUUUUCAUUUACAUAUUCAUUUAUUUUUGAGACAAUCUUUAUAUCUUUAUACAUUUCCAUCCUAUAUACUAUAUAACAAUUGUAUCUUAUUUCUUAUGGCUUGAUCUCUGGAUUGAUUCAUGAUAUAGUUCUUUACCCUUGUCCAUCUUUCUUCCAUUUCUCUCAUUUUUAAAACAUUUAAUUUCACAUUUAUAAUUUCAAAUUCCAUUUGCUCCACCAUAUAUUGGUACCAUUUAUUUACUGUCCAUUUUGAUUUAUCUUUCCACCCUAAUAUUAUUACUGCUUGUGCACAUUCAA